rnacentral:rRNA from 1 species
CAGUAGCCGCGGUAAUACGAAGGGGGCUAGCGUUGUUCGGAUUUACUGGGCGUAAAGCGCACGUAGGCGGAUCGAUCAGUCAGGGGUGAAAUCCCAGAGCUCAACUCUGGAACUGCCUUUGAUACUGUCGAUCUGGAGUAUGGAAGAGGUGAAUGGAAUUCCGAGUGUAGAGGUGAAAUUCGUAGAUAUUCGGAGGAACACCAGUGGCGAAGGCGGCUCACUGGUCCAUUACUGACGCUGAGGUGCGAAAGCGUGGGGAGCAAACAGGAUUAGAUACCCCGGUAGUCCCUGUCUCUUAUAC